rnacentral:rRNA from 1 species
CUCGUAGGCGGUCGCAUACGGCGGUGGUGAAAGCUCCCGGCUUAACUGGGAGAGGCCCGCCGCAACGGUGCGACUCGAGGGUGGUAGAGGCAGAUGGAAUUCCUGGUGUAGCGGUGAAAUGCGUAGAGAUCAGGAGGAACACCCGUGGCGAAGGCGGUCUGCUGGGCCACACCUGACGCUGAGGAGCGAAAGCCAGGGGAGCGAACGGGAUUAGAUACCCCGGUAGUCCUGGCCGUAAACGAUGGAUACUAGGUGUCAGCGGUAUCGACCCCGCUGGUGCCGCAGCUAACGCGUUAAGUAUCCCGCCUGGGGAGUACGGCCGCAAGGUUGAA